rnacentral:rRNA from 1 species
CCUACGGGUGGCUGCAGUGAGGAAUAUUGGUCAAUGGGGGGAACCCUGAUCCAGCGACGCCGCGUGAGUGAAGAAGUAUUUCGGUAUGUAAAACUCUGUCAGCAGGGAAGUAAGCAAUGACGGUAUCUGACCAAUAAGCCUCGGCUAACUACGGGCCAGCGGCAGCUGUAAUACGUAGGGGGCAAGCGUUAUCCGGAAUUACGUGUUGUAAAGGGUGCGUAGACGGCUGUGCACGUCUGGAGUGAAAGUCGGGGGCCCAACCCCCGGACUGUUUUGGAUACUGUAUGGCUGGAGUGCAGGAGAGGUAAGCGGAAUGCCUAGUGUAGCGGUGAAAUGCGUAGAGAUUA